GAACCAGCAUUUGCAUAUGCCAAGAUCUCUUCUAGAAGCUAGCUUUCCCUUUCCAUUUCUCAAACCAUUGUGCCCUGAUCCCUCUUCCCUUGCUUGUUCAGGUUGCCAAGUGUGUCAAAAUCAGGUUGCCCGAGCUAGUUCUUCUGGCUGUUGUCAGAUUUCUUAAGGAGCAUCGACAUGACGCUCUAUGGAGGAUGAACGGGGCCGCAAACUCAUACAACUUGCAGAUUGGAGAAGUGCAAGCGGAUUUAGAUUAGCUUAACAUAAGUGUAGAUGGAUCCGGGUAAACAAAUUGUAAUGUUGUAGGAGGAAUAGUAUAACAAAACAAUUGUAAAACUAUUUUAUUUAAUUUAAUGUUAUUUGAA